UGCUUUGGUCAAACGGAGACCUGCAAUUUCGCUCCAGGAACCUGCCAAGACAACAAGGCUACUGGUGGCUGCCUCUCCGUGGCGGAAGAUAUUACACUGGGUGGGACACAGAACACAUACUUCUACAAACAGUGUCUGAGUAGCUACAAGAGUGACAUAGAAGUCCCCAUCUCCUUCAGUGUUGGGAACGGCAAUUACGUGAGGAUCAACACUACACGAUGCAACACAGAUAAUUGUAACUUGGCUGUACCUGGAGUGCCCACGGGGAGCACCACCGCGAACGGGCUGCAGUGCCCAACCUGCUUCGCUCUGAACUUCACUGUCUGCAACAGCUCAGUCACCCCUUGUACCGGGGAUGAGACCUACUGCAUGGAUUUCAC
rnacentral:lncRNA from 1 species